ACUCUUUGUUAAGUUUCUGGAAACAGAAUCUCAUCCAUCUGUCCCGCCCCCAAAGCUGUCCGUUCAUGACCUGAAGCCUUUAGAUUCUCCAGGAAGAAGGAAAGUCGACACAGGCACAGCCGAAGGCUUUAGAGAUACAGCGGAAUCCAGGGCAGGAAGAAGAACAGACAUGAAUCCAUUCUUGGCUCCCCGCUCAGCAGCCGUGCCCCUUAUUAACCCAGCUGGACAUGGGCCUGGUGGGCCUGGGCAUCUCCUUCUGAAACCCAUCUCAGACGUUCUACCCACGUUUACACCUUUGCCAGUGUCGCCUGACAACAGCGCUGGUGUUGUGCUGAAAGACCUUCUAAAGCAAUAGGUAGCUUUCAGGGCUGAGACUAUGUAGCACUUUAAAGAAACCAUGACACUGUGUGUGUGUGAACUUAUCACAAAGUGGCCUUCUGGAGAGUUAUGUAUUUAUAAUUGUAAUUUCUCUGUUAAUAAAAAUAUUCUUAAUGCUUUUAGAAAUUGCAGGUGUCAGAAGAGCAAGUAUGGAAGAUAUAAUCUGCUUUUUUUUCCCUUUAUGAUGUUACCUAAUUUAAAACUAGAAACAUUUGGUUUCCUUUUCAAUUUACAAAACUCUAAAGGAGAGGCAAGAACAGUAAACUGUGCCUGCUUUUAUCUCCCUGCAUUUUCAAGCUCAUUUAAUAUAUGAGCAUGUGGUUCAUCUUUUAAAGAUAAGGAAUCAACUGUCCCCGACCCCCCAUUGAUGCCUAAUAAAGGCUUCUGUC
rnacentral:lncRNA from 1 species